rnacentral:lncRNA from 1 species
CAUGACAAACUGACACUGUUUUUCUUUUGGAAGCUGAUCAAGGAAGGAAGCCUCUGUCCCAUCAGCCAGGAGGGUGUUAUUGUUGAUUCCUUGUUGCUGGUCAGCAGAGUCCCGGAUACAGCUCAGUGCGAUGCUGAAAGGAUGCUCUUUAAAUGCUUACCAAUGAGAGGGUAAGCAGGGUCAUCUUUUCCUGAGGUCACCCAGAGAUGGUGUUCACUUGCCCUGCCCUGGAGGAAGUCCAAGCUGUUCAAGGGUCUUCUUCAUCAUGCUCUCUGCAGUUUCCACAUUGGACACAUUGACUGUGGUAAAGAACAGUUGUCAGCAUCCAGCACAAAGAUCUGAAGCGACAGAUUCUUCAGAUAUUCAUUCUGUUUUACCUCAUUGAUAUGCCUGAAAUAAUGCUGACAGCCAUCGUUCCUUCACGUCAGCUGAGCUGAAGGUGACAACAUAGUUGGUGAUAGGCCAGCCGAUGACAAACGAAUUCUCAGGACCCAUCUUUUUCUCUGUCACUUCGCUGAGGCAGGUACCGGUCCACACUUCACUCAGAUGCACUUGCUUUUUCAACUUCAGGCUGGAGGAGGAUUGGACUUGGCGAUGACCAGCACAUCACUGAACAAGAUCAAAUGUCUCUCCUGGGUCUGCAGGCCCACAGUUAGCUGUACACGCUCAUCCAGGAUGAAAGUGGAGCCUGGGCUGCUGAACACCCCACUUGGCAGCCCAUUGUCUGAAUGGGAAGAGGAAAGGGUAUUUCCUGUACCUGGAAUGGCUCUUUGACUUGCUGAGAGCUUUAGUAAUGGCAGAAGGGGUAGAUCGUCUUCUUUGGACUAUGGGCUUCAUCUUCUGCAAGACAAAAAGACAUUCCAGUUAGUCUGGCCACCCUGGAAGCAUAUCUGCUCACUGCACUCUACAAGGUCUCUUUUCAUCUAGUUAACACUCAUGAAACCUCAGCACUGAAAGCUAGACACCCCCUCCCCGCUCCGCAGCCCCCGACAGGAAGGGCGGCAGCGGCCCCAACGCGCUACUUGCCUGGCUCCGCGCGGAGCCCGCGGCGCAGCUCGGGGCGCGGCCGCCUUGUCAUGCCCGCGGCCGAAGCGCGGCGCGGCGCAUGGUCGGCGGCGGUGGCGGCGGGGGCUGCGCGAUCGGUCCCGGCGCGGCGGCGGCGGCCGGCGAGUGGCGC